ensembl:lncRNA
CUCACAGUCCACCUUGACUUAAAUAAUAUGAGCACUGGUUUUCAUUUGCUUUCGAAAUGAAAAGAAGAAACUUUUUUUGCCUGCACAGUUGACUCAGAGUAGACAGUUCAAGGAGGACGAAAGUAAGAUUAGAUGUCAGUUAACUUCCACUCCGCCCUUUGUGCUGUAUACUAAAACCCACGGGGGGCCACUGCUGCGUGAUUUACAGGUAAUAAAACCAGUCGGAGAUGACAGCCAGAGACAGGCUGCUACCACAGACUCCUAUCAAAUGAGAACAGUCAAUACAUCUCUGUGAUAAUAUGAAUUAUUCUCUUUAUGUGUCAUAAAGGAGCUGUCUUCAGCUGUUUAAUGUCUGCCAGGCGGGAAAUCAAGAACUUUGGCAUCUGAUAGAAAAUAGAUAUUAAAGAGACAAAUAUGUGCCGAUAUGGUAGGUCAGCACUUACAGUGCAUUUCCUCUGAAAACAUGUAUGGAAUAACUCGAUCAAUCAUCAAAAAUUAAUCUUCUGUGUAAUACUGUCUAUUGUGUAUUAGAAACAUGCUGCUUUAACAACACGAUUGUUACUUAAAAUUGCAUGAAUUUCAUUCAUGUUUUUGGCAUCUGCCAAAAAACGAUGCUAGAGCUGGUCUCAAAACUAACUUUUUUAUCUUUUUUGUGUUAUUACUUUUGACAGCUGCGGUGUAAGGUCAUUUUCGUGGAUAUAUGACAUCAGUUCACCUCAAGUUCACACAAGCUGUGUCCAAAAGCUGAAAAAUAGAGGUAAGAAUCCAAAUUCAGUGCUGGUGAAACAUUUCGUCUGCUAAGAUGACUCUGUCUGGUAAAUUUUUGAAAGCAGCAUAGAUGUAUCACUGUCUAGGACAGAAUAAAAAUUGUGUCUGAUAGAGCAGUUGAAAGGAGUUGAUUUAUUUAUAAAAGUGUGUUUUUUUCUUUUUUUCUUUUAUGAUUCUAUUUCUACUGAGAAAAAAGCAGUCACUAAAUAUUUGAUUAGCUUAUUAGACAUUAGCCUUGGAAUUCUGUGAGAAACCUUUAUUUUAUCUUUAUUUAUUUUGCUUGCUAAGUGUGCUCUUCUUUUCAGCUGAAUGUCAUUUAGAUUAUAUAUUCAUUUGUUUGUUUGUCAUUUUCAUGUCUUGAUAUGUUUUGGGCCUCAGUACUGAAUACAAACUCAAGGGGCAUCUUAGGUGAAAUCCAGUGGAAAAAAAAACAUCCCCUGUUGUCCUCUCACAUUUAAAUCAAUUUAAAUAACAUAUUUGUUUAGAACUACUUUGCACUGUUUUCACAGUUUACUAAACAGUACUUGAUCAGUGCAUAUUUCUCUCCUGAUUCAGAUGAGACAACAUUUUCACUGGGAAAGCAAUAUUAUGGAUAAAGGACAUACAUUUUGAAGUUACAAAUAUAUUAAUGAUAGAUUUGUUAAUUACAAACACACAGCUUUUCACUUCACUGGAGAUUAUUUAUUAUUAUUUAUUGCAAUGAUUUUAUCAGCUGUUUGAACUCUAAUUCUGACGGCACCCAUUCACUGCAGAGGAUCCAUU